rnacentral:rRNA from 1 species
GACGAACGCUGGCGGCGUGCUUAACACAUGCAAGUCGAACGAUGAAGAAAAGAAUCGAAGCUUCGGCAGAAAUUCAUUUCGGAUUAGUGGCAGACGGGUGAGUAACGCGUGAGCAACCUGCCUCUUACAAAGGGAUAGCCUCGGGAAACCGGGAUUAAUACCAUAUAACAUUGCGACGAAGCAUUUCGAUGCAAUCAAAGCUACGGCGGUAAGAGAUGGGCUCGCGUCCCAUUAACCGGAUGGUGAGGUAACGGCUCACCAUAGUGACGAUGGGUAACCGGGCUGAGAGGGUGAACGGUCACACUGGAACUGAGACACGGUCCAGACUCCUACGGGAGGCAGCAGUGGGGAAUAUUGCACAAUGGAGGGAACUCUGAUGCAGCGACGCCGCGUGAGUGAUGAAGGAAUUCGUUUCGUAAAACUCUGUUCUAUGGGAAGAAAAGGACUGUACCAUAGGAGAAAGCUCCGGCUAAAUACGUG